rnacentral:rRNA from 1 species
CGGGGCUUAAUGUCUUGUAAUUGGAAUGAUGGGAAUUUAAACCUCUUCCAGAGUAUCAAUUGGAGGGCAAGUCUGGUGCCAGCAGCCGCGGUAAUUCCAGCUCCAAUAGCGUAUAUUAAAAUUGUUGCAGUUAAAAAGCUCGUAGUUGAAUUUCUGCUGCAUCGCUGUUUUCCUUGAUGAGUAUUGCGUUGUGGCUUUUUUCGGACAUUGCUUCGGUUUUGUCCGGAUGAUUACUUUGAGAAAAUUAGAGUGCUCAAAGCAGGCUUUUGCCUUGAAUAGUUUAGCAUGGAAUAAUAAAGUAGGACUUUGGUUCUAUUUUGUUGGUUUUAGGUACCAAAGUAAUGGUUAAUAGGAACAGUUGGGGGCAUUCGUAUUUAACUGUCAGAGGUGAAAUUCUUAGAUUUGUUAAAGACGAACUACUGCGAAAGCAUUUGCCAAGGAUGUUUCCAUUAAUCAAGAAC